rnacentral:rRNA from 1 species
UACGGGGGGGGCAAGCGUUGUUCGGAAUUACUGGGCGUAAAGGGCUCGUAGGUGGCCAACUAAGUCAGACGUGAAAUCCCUCGGCUUAACCGGGGAACUGCGUCUGAUACUGGAUGGCUUGAAUCCGGGAGAGGGAUGCGGAAUUCCAGGUGUAGCGGUGAAAUGCGUAGAUAUCUGGAGGAACACCGGUGGCGAAGGCGGCAUCCUGGACCGGUAUUGACGCUGAUGAGCGAAAGCCAGGGGAGCAAACGGG